rnacentral:rRNA from 1 species
UACGUAGGGUGCAAGCGUUGUCCGGAAUUAUUGGGCGUAAAGAGCUUGUAGGCGGUUUGUCGCGUCUGCUGUGAAAUUUCGGGGCUCAACCCCGAACUUGCAGUGGGUACGGGCAGACUAGAGUGUGGUAGGGGAGACUGGAAUUCCUGGUGUAGCGGUGAAAUGCGCAGAUAUCAGGAGGAACACCAAUGGCGAAGGCAGCACUCUGGGACGGUACUGACGCUGAGACGCGAAAGCGUGGGGAGCGAACAGG